GACGAACCGUGCGAACGUUGUUCGGAUUCACUGGGCUUAAAGGGCGCGUAGGCGGACUCGCCAGUCUGUGGUGAAAGCCCCCAGCUUAACUGGGGAAGUGGCCGUGGAUACUGCGAGUCUGGAGGAGGGUAGGGGCAUCUGGAACGCUGGGUGGAGCGGUGAAAUGCGUUGAUAUCCAGCGGAACUCCGGUGGCGAAGGCGAGGUGCUGGACCCUUCUGACGCUGAGGCGCGAAAGCUAGGGGAGCAAACGGG
rnacentral:rRNA from 1 species